GCAGUUGCCACCCUGAGGAUCUCUCACAGCAAGAAUGCAGUGGGAUUAAUUGCCACAAAAAGCGGAGGCAGAUUUUGACCUCUCUCUUCAGAGGCUGAGGUGACAUCCUUCCUUCUAUGUCUUCCUAAAAUGUGCAGGCACUUUGAAGAGAUUCUUUGGAGAAGAAAGUAAUGAGCAACAUAAUCAAAGAUCACUGAAAAUGUAGUGUCAGAGCUACAUCAUUGGCACAUGAUUGCAGUGAUUCUCAUGCAAGUGGCUCAUUCAUCACAUUUGGAAAACAUGAACUACUGUAAUAAAGGGCUAUGCAUGGCUUGAACAUCUCCCAUACCUCACUGCUUUCUUCUCUUUCUGGCUUGCCACUUAGCAUAUAUAUAACAGAUUUACCUAGGUGAUUUCCAUCUGUUAUCAUGUGUAUCUGUAAGAUAACAGGACCCAGGAGGGAACAACUUCCUUACUCCCACCCCAAUACCU